rnacentral:snoRNA from 1 species
CUUCAGUGAUGAGACGAUGACGAGUCGGAACACGGCCCCGCCUCCUCUGGUGGCUCCUGGUCCAGAUCCACGUUCUGUGGUUCUGUUCCAGGUUAUCAGAACGAGGCGGGCCUUUUCUGCCUGAAGACACCGAGGCAUUUGUCUGAGAAGG